rnacentral:sRNA from 1 species
UUUCUCGAUAUUCUUGUCGAAAAAGUCCAAAAAUUCAAAUCAUUAAAAUGUUCGUAAUUCAAAAAUGAUAAACUACAUGUACUUGUCAUGCAAGAUAACAGAUCAUUUAUUUUAAAAUAAAUAUACAUCGACAAAAUCAACUCCCGUCAGUUCUACAGUACUUUGAUAUUCGGUAAAGGAUUUACCGUGUGAAUUUAAUCGGGGCAAAACAGAAUAGGAGCGAACCAUCUCGGGACAAAACAUGUUUAGGUGCGAAACAUCCCGGUAUCCCCCCGCCCACCCUUCGAUUAUACACUUCGAGUAAUGUUGAUAUUAAACAUUAAGUCAAAAUGACACGUAUACGCAAUCGUAGUAAAAAUAUAAUAUAUGAUGCCUAUAUCGUUUUGUGCACAUAUGAUUUCUCAUAAUAGAUUGGCGCUCGCUGCAUUGUUAGAGGAGUUCCGAAGACGUAAGAGACGUCUGCCGCCAAAGUUUGUAUGAUUUCUAAAACGAGGCCCAGUAUACACGGUAAGUUGUCCUUUUAACACAAAUACUUGUUUUUCGUGAAGCCUAAAUAUC